rnacentral:rRNA from 1 species
AUUGAACGCUGGCGGCAGGCCUAACACAUGCAAGUCGAGCGGAUGAGGGGAGCUUGCUCCCUGAUUUAGCGGCGGACGGGUGAGUAAUGCCUAGGAAUCUGCCUGGUAGUGGGGGAUAACGUUCCGAAAGGAACGCUAAUACCGCAUCCGUCCUACGGGAGAAAGCAGGGGACCUUCGGUCCUUGCGCUAUCAGAUGACCCUAGGUCGGAUUAGCUAGUUGGUGAGGUAAUGGCUCACCAAGGCGACGAUCCGUAACUGGUCUGAGAGGAUGAUCAGUCACACUGGAACUGAGACACGGUCCAGACUCCUACGGGAGGCAGCAGUGGGGAAUAUUGGACAAUGGGCGAAAGCCUGAUCCAGCCAUGCCGCGUGUGUGAAGAAGGUCUUCGGAUUGUAAAGCACUUUAAGUUGGGAGGAAGGGCUGCUGGUUAAUACCCUGCAGUUUUGACGUUACCAACAGAAUAAGCACCGGCUAACUUCGUG